CCUUCUGUUCCAGAAUCUAUAACAUUUACAAUCGGUUAUUACAUCUGUUGAUCAUUCCUAAUCUACUGAUACAUCUUAAACUAUAAACAAUAUGUUUUAUAUUGUUACAUGGAUUCACAAUCCAAAAAUUUUAAUAUUCUUCUAUAUUGUGUUCUUCAACUACACAACUACAAUGUAUAAUAUUAACAUUCAUCUAGUUUAGCUGGAAACUUCAUCAUUAAGUGUUUUGACAUAAAAUCUUACCAAAUAUAAAUACUCUAAAGAAAUUACACCAACCAUCUUCAAUCACUAAUUCUUCUCGUGAUCCUUUAUCUAUAUAUAUCCUGAAUCCUCUGACGCUAUGGUCAUCUGUUUAUAACGACUUUAAUCUGCAAAAUUUAUUUCCAAGGUUGAGCACGACAACUUAGCAAGUCCAACAGUCUUCACAUUUAAUGUCUCACAUAGCAUACGAAUUUCAUAUAUUCAUACAUCAAAAAAUUUAGUCAUUGCAUCUACACAUGCUUCAUACAUCUCUAUAUGCAUCAUACAUUUCUUGAUAUGCAUCUUUAUAUGAAUAAUACUUAUCAUACAAUACAAUAUAAUCUUCAUAUUAUAUAUUUAACCCAUACUUCACAAAUUCCAUACUUUGCAUUUAGUCACAUAACAUUCAUGUAAUCAACGAUUUCACAUAAAGCAACAUAUAUCAUUAACUACCGUAAACAUGGUUUAAUACACAUUAUCAUCACAUAAGAGCAAGUUACUAAAGAACUUGCCUCAAAACCUUCCUUGCGUGGUUAUGAGAAUUUGUCCUUCCAUUGUCUUACACGAUUAAGGGUAUAUAUAACCACCAUUAGCCACAUAAUGAUGCUUGGUAGUCAUUUAUGUUAAUUCCACCUUACUUUUCAUCAUUCUUCCUUUUUAAAUCUUGAUACACAAUGUUUUAAUCAUGUGUUUAAGACUUACUAGAACACUUUAUUAUCCAUUUGAUUUAUUUACAUUAAACUUCAUUCGAAUGAGAAUUUAAUUAAUAAGAUUAAUCAUCACCUCGUAAUUAAAUCUGAUAAUCAUUAUUAAACUCUCGUCUAAUAUUAUUAAUCACUCAAUCAAUAUUAUUAAUCAUUUAAUAAUAUUUCAAUCAGUUACUAAUAUUAUUAAUUAUUUAAUAAUAUUUUAUUCACUUUCUAAUAUUAUUAAUCACUUAAUAAUAUCUUAAUAACUUACAAAAAUUAUUAAUCAUUUAAUAAUAUUUUAUUCACUUUCUAAUAUUAUUAACCAUAUAAUAAUAUUUUAAUCACUUACUAAUAUUAUUAAUCUUUUAAUAAUAUUUUAAUAAUUCACUAAUAUUAUUAAUCAUUUAAUAAUAUUAUUAAUCAUUUAAAUAAUUUAAUUUAAUUGUUUAUCUCUUACUAUUUAAUUUAUUUAACACACACAUUGUGCCAUUCUUAUACCAUUUUAUUAAAAAUGACCAAAUUACCCUCAUAAAGUCUUAAUACAUCAUAUUAAUGAUUAUUAGUCAAUAAAAUCACCUUACAGAAUUUUAUGACUUAAUAUAACUUAAUUUUCUUAUUUAUUCUUAACGCAUUCAUAGUUAUUAAAAAUACCUAAUCAAAUUAUUAUUUUCCUAUCUCCUGAAAAACUUAAAUAUAUAAUAUUUUAGUCACAAAAUAAUUUUCUUGAAAUUUUUUAACUUCGUUUCCUAUUUUUAAAUAGGUCAUUUCUGUCCAUAACUACCACAUUUAUUAAAAAUUAUCUUUUUGACUUGUACCAACAUACACAUCCCCUCACAUCAUUUUUAUAACAUUCGCAUAAAAUUAUGUGACCUUUUCAUAGUCUCAUAUGUCACAUGUCGACAUACUCUAGUCGAUAGAAAUUAUCUCGACGAUUCCCGAUUCGUCGAUUAUUAGUUUUUAAUCCGUUGAAAGCCUAAUUCCCCCAUUAAGCAUCCUUAAUCAUUUUAUUAUUUUUUCUAUUUUCUGUCCAUACAUAUAUACAUAUAUUCCAUACACAAAAAAAAAAAUUCUGAAAUUUUUUCUUUUUAUUAAAUAUUUUUCAGAAGCCAAUUUUAGUUCGUAACUUAGUAAAAUUAGCUAUAUCAUGCUCAACUCAGAAAAUUCUCAAAUUUUUACAGAAUCUUACAUAUAUUAUUGUGAACUUCCAGUUUAAAUUUCGUGGUCAUCGAAAUUAUAGAACUCUAGUUAUAGCUAUUUUUGUCAAACAAAUCCUAUAAUUGAAAUGGCCAUAACUCACUCGAUUUAAUUCGGCAUAAGCUCCACUUUGGACAGGAGCUUCUUUAUAUCAUAUAUUUUCAUGCCCCAAAAGGCCUGAAUUUAUUUCAAAAAUUAAAUGGCCGAAAAUGCCCCUGGAAAUGUUUGGACAUAUUGCUUUUUGGUAUUUCCAGAUUUUACCUACUUUACUAAAAAUUGUCCAUAUAGAAAUCUACAAGGAAUUUUUCAGUGAUUCCACUUGGAGAUAUUAGAUAUCUCAUGUAUCUAACACAUGUUUUUGACGGAUCUCAAAAAUAAGUUUCAGAUUUCAAAUGUUGAAGGUCCAAAGUUAAAUGAAAUUUAGGGCUUUUUGUACCAAAAACUAUUUUUGAUCUUCUUCUUUGUUCAAGCUCAUCAACCCUUAAAUUGACAACAUCCAAGCAUAAAACAUCAUAAUACAUCCUAAUACUUCUUAACUCAAGGAUCUACCAUGAUCCACGAUUAAUUCCAUCAAACUCCCAUGAAAAUAAGACUAAACAACUAUAAACAUAGUUUUUGGGUUAGAAUUUCUUAUACCUUCUUGUUUUCUUGCUUGACUUCCUCUUCCAUGAUUACAUGGCUACCCACCACUUGAGGCAUAAACAAAACACAUAAACAUGGUAGGAAUUUCAGAUUUUAGAACAAAUCUAUCAAAGAAAGUUCUAUGAAUUUAAGUUUAGGAAUUACCUUUAAUAAGUUUUCUUCAUUUUCUUUCUUCCUCUUCUUUCUUUUUCCUCUCUCCUCUUCUUCC
rnacentral:lncRNA from 1 species